UGAAAGGAAAGAGGGAAAGGGAGACACUGGGCAAUCCGGAAUCGAUGAAAUCACUGUUUUUUCGCCUUGUAAUAUGUCCGGUUACAUUCCAAAGAUGAAUCAGACCAGGAGAUAGAUAAGCGCUAGGGCGGACACAUGGAAUAAGAAUUUGAAAAGUAAUGAUCAACUUUAUGGAUCCAUAGGUAGAUUCACUUGUGAAUCUAUGGGAUAGGACAAGAUUCAAAAGUACCAAAAGUAAGUUAAGUGGGACGCUGAGUUCAUUGUUGCGAUCGAGGGUCCAAAGCCAGCCAAUUUGAUGACCGCGUAGGAACGGGUUCCGAAUGCUCACAAUAAUGUAGUUGGAAAUGAAAAAAGGCUCCUAAAUUGAUACCUAAUAAUAGCUUAGCAGCUCCUUCGUUUUACUAAAGAGCCAAGUUCGGACAAGCAACUCGGAAGGAGGAAUGUGUUGAGAUGCCAAUGCCUAAGAGAGAUAAGCGGAGGACGUAUGAUAGCCGAGAGGAUGUCGGUAAACGACGGAGUUUAAGGAGUUGUUUUUGAAUUCGGCAUGGCAUAUGUCAUUUUUUUUAAUGAGAACAUCGUCUCCUUGCUUACCCGCCUGGCCAAUGGAAGGAAUUAAUUACCUUGGUCAGUCAGCGAAAGAAAGAAUCUCACCAGUUCAUCAUCCCAAUCCUUCCUAUUAGUUUCAUUAAUUAAUUCAGCCCAGAGUGUUGGCAAUCAAGGGCCAAGAAAGAAUCCCAAGUCUAUCCUAUCUCGCCACGGUCGAAAGCACAAUCCCUUUCUCUUCCUAUACUGAAAUCGUCGUUUCAUUCUUCCGCAACUUCUAUCGCGGACAUGAUCCAAUCUACCUUGCAAGACAGAUUAAGAUAUAACUUAAGGCUUUCCCAAGCUGGCGCAUAACCUCUGGUAGAGGCAUUCACCCAGAGACAGAGAAGUGGGAAACCGUGGAUGAAAAGAAUACCGAGGUCUUUGAUAGCAAACUUCUAUGUGAGCUUUCUAACUAAAAGGAAUCUCUUAUUCAUAUGGCAUAAAAUGGAAAAACUUGAUGGAGAUUUCUUCUCAAUUUCCAUGGUACAGUCCCUUUGCAUGCUACAGUUCCACUACUUACUACCUGAAUUUGCUAUAUACGAAAUUAUGACAUCUACGGUACUUGUCGUCUACUUCUGGUGGAAGCAAUUCCAAAGGUGAAGAUAAUACUGAGCCGAAUAGUAAUGAGGGGAAUGCAAAAUCAAGCAAAGGUAACAAGGGUCAAGGAAGAAUAGCAGUGACUUAUAAAAGGAAAGCACCGAAUAAAAGGAAGGAGAUCCGUCUUGAUUUUUUGCAUGUGGUCAAUGCGUUUGCUGAUUGAUAAUUGUCUAAUCUUAAGAUGGUUUUGUGGCACGUUACAAACAUACAUAUACAGUCGAAAUAUAGUUGUGUUGAGUUAGGUUGAAGAAUUUUUACCAGAUUUUUAAAAUGAGAUAUAGUGCUUUCUUUGUUCGGUAGGAGAUUUUGCACUUUCAUAUUCUAGUUCCUCAUUUGAGCGUUCUUUUGCUCUGUUGGUGGGGCAUAAACUCAUAAAUAGUUUUUGUUUUUUCUUUAAAUAAUAGUAAAAGUAUGCAUUCAAGUAGUAGCUUUUUCUAAAUAGUCGAGUAAAGUCGAGUAGGGCUAGCAACAAGGACUAGGAAGAUACGGGCUAGUUUGUUUUUUUAAGGGAAGGCUUUAUGCAAGAUAUGCACGUGAGUAGGUCAGUAUAUGCGUAUCUGCCAAUAGAGGAAAACACGUAGUAAGUAGGCUUGCUUUUUCGUAGGGAUAGGUAGCUUGACAAGGGAUGCCUCGGAUAGCACAUAGGAAAAGUAUAGAAGGAAAGGCGGCGGGAAAGUAGCCAUGGUCAAGGUAAACAAGUAGUAGGUCUUUUCUUUCCGAAGCAAGUCAAGGACAACUAGGUCAGUCUGGGGGGGCAAUCCUCUAGAUCGAUACUUCUCUUCCACAGACUAAACCAAUUAAUAAACAAUUUACAGAGUAUUCUUGCAUUCCUAUCUGGUCUGCAUCUCUCCUAUCGAAACUAUAAUAUAACCUUAAUGGAAGGGCCCUGGUUCUGCCUUGCCAAACCGACAAAUCCAGAAAUUGUAGAUGAAUUCAUCGGGCUUAACGUGUGAUUUAGUUAUAAGUGAAGAGGCGUCGUCGUCCAGCCGUGUCGAGUUGGUAUUAGAGGAGAGAGCUCGAAUGGAUAGGUCCAGUGAGGCGGGUGUGGAGCAUGAAGGAUUAAGAAGGUCCUCUUUAUUUCCGGAAUCAACAAGAAAGACUUAGCAGCCCAAAUAAAGUAACCCUUUCCCCCUCCCGAGUCUAUCGUAUCCAUAGUUUCAGUGGGUAUCGAACUACGAAGCGAGGAAGCUAUUUCAAUUGAACGGGCUUACUUUCUUACUUGGUUCUUUUGUAGAACAACCUUGGUAUGAAGCUAGACGAUUCAAACUAUAUAAGCAUAAGCAAUUCAAACUAGACAUUUCGACCUUCAUCCCACCCGAGAAAUAAUAAGCAAAGAGCUCGUAAGUCGGGCAUAGAGAAAGCGACUCCUGAGAUUGAGGGGGAUAGGAUACUAUCUCCUAGCGCAUAUAUGAAACGAUAGCAGGUUUUCUACCGGGGGGGGCUUUCAAUUGUAAUUUUUACAAUUAGUAGUUCUUGCUUUCAUAAACUCAUAGUUAUUGUAGUUUGGUGUAGUCUUUGUGGCCGGGACGAACUGGAUUCGAACCAGAUAAGAGCCGUGCGUUCCCUUCUUUCCAAGCGUCCCUUUGGUUUCGCAGUUCCAUAAGAGAGGCAACCUCUAUCUCUUUCUCUACAUCUGCGGGCCGGUAGGCCGGCCAACUAACUCUUCAAAUGAAGCCCUUUAUCUUGAUAACGAAAAAGAGAAUGAUGAUGAUGGCGACCAUUCAUUCCUCCUCUUGAUUUGCAUUUUGUUGUAGUUCGGGUGGGAUCUUAUCAAGCUCAUCUUGAAAAUGAAGCUUUAUAAGAUCCCAUAUAACUCUUCUUUGCCCUUCAGUGUCAUCCGUCUGAUUGACGAAAUCAAUUAACCCAGCGUCUGUUGAAUGAAAGUUCUCCGAGAUCUCUCGGAUACACUUGUUUUUGACAACAUCAGCAUCUCCCACGUAGGCACAUAAUUGAUCAUAGAGCGGGGAAGUGGAAUCAUUCCUUUUGAAAUUCUCGAAUUGCUCGUCAAUUCUAAAAUCCUUUAUGGAUUCGGCAUAUUGCCUAAUAUCUUCCUGAUCCUGAGCCGGUCGGUUCAAGUCAAUAGUUAAAGGAGGCACAUCGCUCCCACCCCUUUGGUUAACGCUCUCACUAUCACUAUCAGAUGAUAGCAUUAGAUGAACGUGUGGGGCUUUGUACGUUUCCUGCCCCAAACGGGAAGGACUUUCAAGCCCCCCUGUGCCCACGGUCCCACAUCGCUCCUGCCCCCAGAGGGCCGGUACCAUUUCUUCAAUCAGCGUGGCACCAUAUAGCAAAACAUAUUGUAAAAGUGACAGAAUCACUUCCAGUAGUGCUUGCCUAACCUGAUCUGUCACGAUCAAGGAGGGAUCCACUACUAAAGCAGCUAUCACAAUGAUAACUAUGAAAAGUCCCCCCCCCAUUGAAAAAAACAAGAAUCAGAUGAUAGAUCAAGUCUUACCUCAAUUGGAUUUCCUUUUCGUGCCAUAUGUCGCUUAUACUUUACUUUUUUCCCCCUCUGCCCUUUCAAAAGUGGUUACUCCCGAUCCGAAGCACCCCUUUUCCAUUCAUAGAGAGAUCCAAUCGUCAAAAUCAAUAAAAAGGCCAUCAUGAACCAAGAGAACGAGAUAUUGACUUUUUUGACAUCUGUAACUACAUUCUCACAUUUCUUUUUUGAUCUCAUGACUUUUUAUGCGAUCGGAAAACGAAUGAUAUCAGAAAGAUAGGUGGACGACUUGACCAUAAGGUCGGAUGUUUCCGUGAGCAGUAAGCAGCGGAUCUCCCCUUUUUGGGGGAAAGCUGGUGGCCCUUUUGGCGUGUUAAUUCUUUCGACGGGGCGGCCUUCUUCGUUCGGUAGAUCCGGUCGAGGUGGUUUUCGUUUACCAGCGCGUAGGUGGUCUAAGUUCCUAUGACCGAGUCUUUCUGGCCCCUGUGAACAUAUUUUCUUAAUGUAUUAAAGAGGGCCUCUCUAACCGGUGAAAAGUGGUAGGUGUCCACUAGGCUAUUCCUGGCUCGGCUCCGAUAACGCAAUUCCGGGAGGAGUCGGUAGUUGGGCACUGGAUCCCUUCGGACCUGGAGAACGUGUGACACUGGGUCGGGGUUUGGUGAACCAACAGGUCGCUCCUUUAGUUGAAGUAUCGGGCCCCUUUUUCGUUGCCUAGGUUACACCUUCGGAAUACCCCAGACGGGGAUUUCGCUCUAUUCCCCCCAAUCUUCACUUUACGCCACGCCGACUCUCCGUCGUGGAAUUAGACCAAGGGUCGAAGACCCAUACCAUAGGACCCCGUCUCCCGUAUCUUAUCUUUCGCGCGUAGGAGAUCGAGACACAGCCUUAGGGCUAUGGGGAAAGUGGAUCGAUUGCCCUAGAAUUACAACUACGUAGAGGGUCUCUACAAGUCUAUAAAGAAGUUCAAAAAAAUUGAUCGGUAGUAGUCCGCUCGCACCCGAACAAUAAUAUUCCAGAGGGAAAUGCACCUAAGAUCAAAUAUUUUGAGCCGGCUUCCGUGGAAAAUUCAGACUUUCUUUUUGAUGCUGCGAUCACAUAAAAACAUAAACUUUGAAGCUCAAUAGCUAAAUACAUGGCAAUUAAAUCAUCAGCCGGGAUCAUUAAGAGCAUACUGCGAGUAGGAAGUGGAAUUAAUACAAUGAAUUCAGAAGCAUCAAACCUCUCUUUUUCGAAAAAAAUCGAAACACAUCGAAAUGGUACCAGCCGUACUUAAUAAUAGAAGGAUUUGGCAGAAAGAUGUAAAAUUGUCCCUCCUAAAAAAAUUAUUCCAGAAUAAAUGGGCAAUAGUUAGGAGAGGUGCGCCAGCGGCGAGCAGAAGCAAGGUUAUUAGAUACCGAAGGAAAGCCCGGCCAGAACCACACGUGCAAGUUUCCCUGCAUGUGGCUCGUCCGUGAUAACUUCUUCGGAUUUGCGUGAACUAGCGGACCGAUCACUAAGUGGUUAGUACCUCCAGCAUGAGCGAACCUUUUCAGAACUGGUUAGGAAUGGGCGCCACUAUCCCAGCCCGGAUCCAGCCAGGUUCUAUUGAUCAUGUCCCCUUCCCAACAGUUGUAUCUUGUCUUGGGGCGUCUUUCUUUGGCUUUACUAUCAAGCCAGAGGCAGCGCCCUUUCGCAUUAUCAUCUACCGCCCUUUCUUUCCUCCCGUCCCUUCACGCAUGAAGAUCGUCGUAUGUAUGUUCGACUUCGGUUGCCGGUGCAAUAGAAUUGGCGAGAGUAUAUUAUGGCAGGAUCAGUCACCUGGGCAAACCAAAACCCGCCUCCAAGAAGAAUUGUGCUAUGCCCCCCCCCCCGAUAUCCCUAUAGAGCGAAAGAGCUGCCUGGUGAUCCCUAGGUUGCAGCACGUCUGGUCGUUAACUCCUCGCUAGCUGCCGCCGUUUCUAGGACCGACCGACGCCUCACCUGCAUGCACAGGUACCUACGUAGUGUAGUGUCGGUCGCACAUUCAUAAUAGCGUUCGGACUCAUGUGCCUUCCUGAACCAGGGGAGUUCCCUUGCUCCUGCUGCGUACGAUUAGCCGGCCUUGCGGCGGCAAAAGGAUUAGCACGUCCCCCCAUGCUAAGGUUCCCUGCGGUCCGGCCGCAUUAGGUUAGGGAGCUGGGCGAUAAUAGCUCCUCCGCAUCCCAAGCGCGCUGCCCUCCUAGGCGCGCAACACUAAGUAAUCCAAGCCAACCCACAUUACUAACUAACGGUGGAUAAUCAUCUUUCUUAGAGGUACUAAAUACAACUCCAUGAAUCAGGAAAAUGAAGGUUGCGUUAAUGAUAAAGAUCUCUGGGGAAACCGCUAAAAAAAGAUUGAACAUGUGGUUCCGAGUUUCGAUAACUUCUUCUACUUUCAUUUCCUCCGUCUUCCAAAUCGCAGAGUUAAUUCAAAAGCCUAGGUGUUAUUACUGAGCUGCUGCUCUUUUUUCUCUAAUUCCCUUCUCAGAUCCUCCGACUAUUCCUCCUUAUCCUACUCACUCGAAGUUUCGUUGGUCAUUUAUUGUUUUUUUAGCCUCUUUGACAAAGUUAGUAAGAAGAAAAACCUCGAUAUUUACUUCACACAAUCUCGAUUUGAAUUAUCAUUUGGUGAACCGGGCAUCUCGGACAAAGACAAUAACAAGAAGAGAUGGGAAGACCCUUCGCGGUCCUGCUCCCUGGUCUCUACCUUGCUUACCGCCCCUCGUAGGGGCCAGCGUACCGAAAACGAUUUACUCUUUUUAUGGGCGCUUUCGACUAGGAUCUCGUUAAGGAAUCGGCCCAAACAAGACCGAGAUUCCCGCGAGAAUUGCUACGCUGCCUGCAGUGAAAUUGCAAGAAUCACUUUAUACGCUAUUUCGAAAUCGAAUGAAUUGAGCAACUGUAUUUCCCCAGGUUUCCAUUGGAAAAGGGGCUUUUUUUUGUAUGCAAGUGAUGAUCGAUUGGCGGAGAAGCCGCUCCCGUGUGGGGUGGCCGUGAGAAUGAUUCCGAGUCUUCCUGACCAGACCCAUGUGGAACUUGUAAAUAAAUAGGUUUGUAAGUGCCUAGCCGAGUAAUAAGAUAAGUACCUUUGCUAAUAAUCCAAAACCUUUCAUCUUCUCUUUCUAGAUAUAGCAGCCUACCCAUAUUGAUAGUGGAAUUAUUGAUCUCCUCUUUCGGAUAGCCCAUUUUGAAUAAGUGUUAUGGGUAAGGGCUUGACCUACCAGUUGAAUGGAAUCUACCGUUCUUUAUGCUCUCGCUAGCUUUAAACUUGUUUGUACCAGUAAUCAAACCCAGAAUCUCAUUUCCCAUUGCUUUCAUCGCAUAGAGCCAGAUGCCGCAUCCACAGGCCUAUUUAGUAAGUGGGGUGUAUCCUUGGUGACACUUGAGAAAUAAUCCUAUACUUCCAAUAACCCACUACUUCCUCCACGGAUGGUACAUGGCAGGCAUCUGCCGGAACUAGAGGCGAGCACUUUUCAAUCAAUUACGAGAGGCAUUCGCUUCUCUGAUCUUUAAUAAGCGAAGCAACGAGCCUAGUAGGGGAAAUACCUUCCUCAGGAAUGUCAUCAAAGCCAGGUUCUCCAAUCGUAAAAGGGAAUAUUCCAUGGCACAAAGGUUGUUUUUAGGUGCUGUCCUCGGCAGACCACCACAAAAGGUCCGAAUCAGGCGAAACUUCUUUUGGUGCCAGCGAGAAGUAGUAACAAGAACUCCUCCUCUGUUCAAUAUCAGCCUGGUUUAGGUCUAGGUCAUAAUGAAUUUUCUGAUACCUUCCUUCGUCCAUAGAUCAGCGUUAUGCUUCUGUCCCGUGAUGAAGAAGGAUAGAAGAAUGGUAAGAUAGGAUCGUAUUAGUGAGCUGUGGGAAAAGAUUUUUUUCGUACCUUGAUUGGACCCACCCAAAAGCAACAGGAAUCCCUUUCUCCUCCUAUAAGGAAAUCUCGUCGUUUCACUCUUCUUCAAGUACCAUCGGAUUAGUCAACUCAAACGCUGAGAGAUUACUAUAGAACCAAGGCGGCUUUGAGGCUGGCUCCACUCUCCAAAUAGAGCAGUUACUUCGUUGACGACAAGAACCCCAUUUCCACUAGCCAAAGAGCAAUUCAUUUCUUUGACUCGAUGCCUCCUCAUUUGCUCCCAUUCCCAUAUUAAUAACCUUGUUAGGGAAAUGCGAGGGAAAAGAAUGCCAAAAGCAUUUAGAGAUUUUACUGGGAUUCGUUCUGGCUCAGAUGGCGAGGGAUUGCUAUAACUAUUUUUAGAAGCAUUAAUGAGAUCUCUUUUUUUCUUCAUAAGCUUGCAUCAUGAAUCCCACUUCCCACUUUACCUGCCUCUUUAGUAGUCUCACAUCUCGGUUUAAGAAAGUGCUCGCUAUAUUCCCAUACCUUCCUGUGCUUAAUACCUAGCUUCAAAGAGCCCACUCUUUUAUUUAAUAGCCGAGAGGCAUGAACGGUUGGGAAAAACCCUCUCCUGUGUGGGUCGUAAGAGUCGAUUAUCCAAGCGAGACCUUAGAGGGGAGGACACACCAUAGCACCCAUUGGUAGACUAGACUCCGGAGCUUCAAACAAACUUACAGUAAGCCUAAUCAAAGCAGGCGCCCUCACCUCCUUCUUCACCACCGGCGUCUACGAUUUGGGUGAAGGUAUCAGCUCUGAUACCAUGUGUGAUAAAUUCUUCCCAUUUUCCUGUGAUAGUCAAUAAACACAACCCUUACGUAUCCGUAUUUUGUAAUCACCUUUCCCUUCCCGUCGCUUCCUUAUACUAGAAUUCUGAUGACGCGUGCAACCCCGGCUACUUCGCUACCCUACUAUUAACAAUUACGGAGUUUUGAUUGUUUAUCCAAUGCAGCUUAAUAUGGUUAUGCUAGCAAGGAGCAUGAACUGAAGCUGGUUAUUUACUUAGAAGAGGAAACGGCUAGUCAGCAGAGCAGCGCAGCGGAGUCAUCAUAUUAUCAUAUUCUUGAGUCUCUCCCCACGGGAUGACCGCUUCCACCAGACUCUAUUUCUAUUGGUUCACCUUAGAUUUCUUGGUUGUCUACAUCCGUCUAAUCCUUAUCUAUAAGAACAUAAUCGCUAAGCUAUGGAUGCUUCGGCCGCACUCUCUACUCAGCUAUCUGUUUCUACUGCGUUGCGUUUUGAAGGCCCGAUACAAAAGAAAGUGGACUUCCUUAUUAGUAGUGAUGGAGACGUCAGGUCCGAGAAGGAAUAACCUAAAGCCAGUGAUAGAAUCUGUACAACCGGCAGGAGCGAUUGAUCAGAUAUCGCAUACAUGCUUAUAAGCUGCUAAUUCUCACACAAUUAGCAUAUAAGGAGAAUAACGUAAAGCUAGUCAAUGCGUUCAGCACUUUCACUUUCCGUACAUACCUUGAUGGGAAGGAAAACUCCACUUCGGAUGGGUUAAAGGUUUUCCAAUUAUGCCAUGCUUACGUUCUCAACUGGAUCACUUUAAUAUCGUUCGACUCAUUGUCAUCAGAGAAAGAUGUGCCGUAGGAGAAUUGACUUCGGAUCAGAGGAGGAAUCGAAACCAAGGAAAAGCUUCAUUCCCGUGCGGUUUCAUUAGUACUACAUCUAUAGGCCACUACUUCACCACUUCACUGGAAAGUGCAUUCUCAAUUGUAGCAAUGUUUCGUAACCACUAAAGCGCAUUCUCUCCUUUACUCUUAUUCCGGCAUGGAUCCCGCUGAAGCAUCUAGUUUUUGGUCAUUUCGCUUUUCGUGCCGGCCUGUAUUCGGAGUUUCUUGGAUUUGCGGUGCCUGAAUGCCUUUCUCCUUCUUUUUGGUGACGUCGGAUGCCCGCCUUUGGCGCUCAGAAGUGGAUUCUCCUUCAAAGAGGGCUUUUCCCCUAAGAAAGGGACAUGGUUGUACUGGAUUUCUAGUCCUAUAGUGGAAGAGCAGAUAGGAUCACACCUACACGUAAGUUCGUUCGUUGGGUUAGUGGCCACCCGCACUCCAACCUAUCUAUAUGGAAACAAAGCGAAUGACAAGGCCAAAGUAGCUGACUCUUAUCGCUAACUUGACUCGGUCUAAGGGCGAGCUUGAAUACAACUCACAGAACGACUCCUCCAGGGGCCUUCAGGCACUCAAACAGAUAGUGAGACAGACACCAUCUAUAGAACUUGAAUGACAAUACACCCAUAUAUUCUAGCUAACAAUCAGAAACUGUAUCCAAAUGGAGGGGACACUCUUCCUUCAGAAAGAUGCCUUCGAAAGAAAAGCUCUUCCCCUCAACGAAAUAGCACAUUUUCUCAAAUGUUCCACGUUUCUCACCAUAUCCUCAUAGGGAUGAAGCAAAAGAAAGAGGAUUACUUGGUUACCUUGCUUCCCUCGCCUAGGACAGUAGAAGGAUCUGUGGCCGAAGGCGCCACAAACGAAGCGGGUCGCCUAUUUUCUGCAGAUCUCCGCAAGAUGACCCUUCUCCCCGCAACGAUAGCACAUAACGUUUUUCCCAUGCUUGCGCGGUGAGGAGGACGAGGCCUUGAGAAGCUUUUCCACCAUUUUUCCCCUUUGGCAUUUGGAUCCAUGUUUUCUUUAACGAUCUCCGUGAUAGUAAAGGUUUUUUUGGUAGCCUUUGCUUUUGACGGCGAUGAAAGAAAGAGAACCCCUCCUAUCUUUUGAUCGUGGUCAAAAUCCUAUCCAAGUCCCCUUUUUUAAGAUCUUUCUCCUGGUUUUGAUCAUCACCGUUCACCUACUUGUUACGGAGAUCCCGACCAAUGCACAAUCCAGAUUUUUUUAGCUUUUUUUCUCCCAUCCCAUCUUGGACGGGCCCAGAAGCUUUUCUCAUGUUUGAAUGGAGGUCUUCCGCAAAUGAAUUUCCAUAUAGGAAUUAUAUAAUGUGCCUGCAGAUAUUGAUUGAAAGCUUGUUUCAAUUGAACGAGGAUGUGAACGAGAAGGCAACAAAAGGGAGCUUGGAGCAAGAGGAGUCAUUUAGUAGUUCACGAAAAAAGGCAUAGUAGAGAAAGGCGGACCAGGCAAUCUCAGAGUGGAAAUCGACACCAUUCAUCCAUCUAUCUCUGCAUCCGGGCUCGCCUCCACUAUUGUUCCGGGUUGAUGAAAGAUCCAACUCCAGAAACCAUACCUACUUCCUGCUUUCGAAAGUGCUUGCUUGCUGACGGGCAUCCCGGCGGGAUGUCUUACCCUCCCUCGAGUCCGAUCUCGGGAGGGCGCUUGGGCUUUUUUUAUUCCCAGGUGUCCGUUUUCUAAAUGCGUAUCGUGAUCCUAGUAUCGGGCUAGGAUUGGCUCCGGUCUAAAACAAGCUUGACCUAAGAACCGCCCUUAAGCAAGGCAGGCAUACGCGCACCUAUAUGUCAAGAUACCUAUUAAGAUUGAAAAAAGGAAAUCUUUAACAUGCGCAUAAGGAUAGAAGGCAGCUAUCUCUUCAGGGGCAUUGCAAAACAACGUCUACUCCAAUUGAAGAAGUCCAUUCUAUGGUCAACCUUGUGGCUCCAAACUAGCACUGAUCCUCAGGAGUGAUGCCUCCUCUCGUCAAAAGUCGGUAUAUACAUGUUCUUGGAAGCAAAUAAAGAAUCUCAUGUAUCAGAGCGGAUACGAUAAUCAGUCGUGCAUAUUAUUAUCAUAUAUAAAUAAAACGAGAUGAGUGGGAUUGAGGAAGAAGGGGAGAGUAAUGGAAGCUGCUUUAGAGAAGGAAAUCCGAAGCAUUACAAGAUCAAAAGAGCUGAGAAUGAGUCGUCAAAUAAGCUCUACGUUAAGAGAAUGGUGGAAACCAGCGCUCAAACUUGAUUCUCUCCUAGGAUGCAUCAUGGGAAAAUCUCAAGACGAUAUAGUGAUGUCGCUUAUCCUACUACAAAGAUUAGGGCUAAUGGAGUAGGAUUCUUAAAAUAUCUACCAAAAAAAGAGAACUUAUAUAAAUAUAAGAAAAUGAGACAGUAAUGAGGUCCAUAUCGUCAUCGUAAUAAAAAGAAAGAUCUGCAAGCAUUCUUUAUGGGAGUCGGGGCUUUCUGAUUUGAAGUUGCUGGAAAAGGACCUCUGUGAUCGGUUGAUCAUUAGUCGUUUUUUUUUCAGGUAAGUAGGCAGGGGUGUCUUGAUCGAAACCGAACUUCAAUUCCACCCAGCUCAGAUUCUACGCAGCAGUGGGGAAGACCUGUUUAUACUUUUUUUGAGAAUUCCAUUUCUUCCUGCCGCACCCCAAUUCUUUCCCAGCAGUUGAAAAUUGAUAUGAGAUCUUGAACCCAGGGGGCUCCUAUGUUCUGGGCAGAGGCAUUGAUGCGGGUAGGAUGCGUGUCUGCUUUCCUGUUGUUUGAAGGAGUAGAUACAUUCAUUUCCUUUUGCCAGAGUGAGAGUGAGAGUUGUGUGGGAUGUUGACAAUCACUAUCUCGUCUAGUGACGAGUGCUAACCUUACAUGAAUCAUGCCAAGCACAGAAGAAAAAGAGGGGCUGGUCUUAACUGAAAGUUGUCCUUGUCCGGCUGAGGAAAGAAAGGGAUGACGAGACGGGGACCCAAAGGUUCCCGGUGAGGAGGCCCGAUGCAAUGUUAGAAACUGUUGUUCCAGUUGUUCCUGUCUGAUCCUUACGAAAGCUGGUGAAAACCUUUGUUCCUUGUUCCUCGGCCUUAGUUAGCAUUUUCGAACAGUGAAAUACACCUUUGUCCUGCGUUGCAUGGUGAGAGUGUGAAUGGAGGCAAAGCCAUGUAAUAAGACAAGAGACAACAAGGCUAUUUCAUUGGGAGACCCCAGUAUUUUGACUACAUUGGAUAGGUGAUAGCUCUUCUUCCUUGGUAUUGGUAACCUCAUCCCCCGGCAUUCUUUGCUCGCCAACUACCCUUAUUGUCGAAUGGACUUUCUAUUCUCUUUCAGAAUGAGAAUUCAUAGACUUUAAACGUUGUUGAAAACCUGUGUAUAAAGAAGGCAUCCCAAUAAACGUGGCUUCAUUGUUGCUUAAAGGGGAACCUGAAUCGAUCGAUAUCUUGUCAUGAGAAAGGCAUCAUCGAAUCAAAGCAACCCUGUUCGUUGCAUCUUUAUCAGAGAGAAAAUCUUGGAGAACACUUUGCAUUCCACUGCUUCGACCUUGAUUUCUUGGCUUUGAUGUUGUUAUCACAAUCAGGUUGCCAUAACACGCAUUGCUAUGUUGAGACAACAUGAUCUUGAAUCAGGAUUGGAUUGCCUUAUCUUAUUAGUAGGCUUCGGUUAAGUUCCCUUUUCUUUUCCCUGGGAAACGGUACCUGCAUUCCGGUGAGCUUUUCCUAUCCCAUUGCUCUCUAUUCUCUAAUUCCCUCAAUCCAAGUUUAUAUACCCUCUGAUUUGGGUAUCCAUCUUUUCUGCACUUGCCCUUUUCCCUUGUUUUCUCUACUUCCCAUUGGAGUGUACAUAUAUUAGAUAUGCGAUCUAUUUUCAUCAACCAGCAGCAGGAAAGCUAGCACAUUUACCUUAAUCCAUUUCCCUUGAGGAUCACAUUUAUCUACCGAUAAGUUUGAUGACUUGUCACUGUGAUGGCUUCAUAACAUACUUAGCAAACCUAGUAAGGGAUUUUGUACCUUAAUCUAGUGAAAGGUGCACAUCCAUCCGAUCCCUAAUCUAGCUCUCUGUGCGUCAGAAACCUGUUUCUUUGACAAUGGGUUUCCACUUAUGCCCGGACCGGAAGUAGCAUAUAUGAAUUAAAGGGAGAUCUAAUCAACCGAGCUGGGUGAGGAUUCUGAGAUUAUGUAUUGGUCAUUGGCUACAGGUGAAUAUAAUUAGGUUCGCUGAUCAUCCAAUAUGACCCGCAUCAGGUCGCGCAUUAAUUAAGUGGUGGGCUAUACAAGUGGGAAAGUACGGGCAGUUGCAUGUUUCCUUUGUUUCAAAACAAUGUUAAAAAGGCGGGUGUGAUGAAGUUGGGAGGAGGGGGCAAGGUAUAUAGAAUGUGAACAAUGGGUGGAAAUCGGAGAAUAGUGCCAGAACAGCCGUUGCACAAAUAUGAGAAAUCAAGGGUUGUGGAUGGUGGAAAGUAUCGAGUUGUUCUAGUUCCUGGCCUUGGUGGUUGGCCCAUGCCCGAGGGAUACUAUGGCGCAUCUCUUUCUGCGGGAACUAAACAAGUUGCCAAUAAUAAUAGAUAUCCCAUAAUACUUUAGGGCAAAUCCGGGACGGGAUAUUCCUCGAUUACAGAGGCAGCAGUUGCGGGCUCAGGUGCUGGUGUGGCUAAAUCUACAUCAAUAGCAGGAUCAGGAUACGAUGCUUACUCGAAAUCAAUAUUCCCCCGUUUCUUACGAGAUAAGAUAUGUAUGCCGGUCCAACUAAAGGAAGGGUGGUUUUGAGCUUGGGUUUCAGGCGCCGGGCUUUUCUACUGAUGAAGUGCGGUGCGCAUCUAAAAGAGUGGAAUAUCCCGUUCUGCUAUCAAAGAAAGAAUCGAAUCCGCCACUUGUUUUUCUAGCUAUCAAGCCAGCCGCGUUUUUCUUGUACUCUCUAGCUAUACGUCUAGCUGAAGCGCUGCCGUGGCACUUGCUGCAUCCUAACUUCUCUUAUGUCUGGGUCUGGGUAAGCACCGGCACAAGCAAAGCCAUGCUUUUUUGCAAAAACGAAAAAAGAGAAAUAGAAAGCCAAGGCCGAGCUUAAGAGGUGUCCACUAAAUCUUUCCUGUUGUUGCGCGGGAUCAAAGAGAUUCUAUCUAAUAGAAUGGGCCAGUCAAGGUACUGGAUAGAUGCCAGAAUCGGUAAAGGAACCCUUUGGUGAGCUGUCUUCUUCCACUAACAACUCAUUUGGGUUCAGUUCCAUCCUUGAAUUGGAUAAAGUCGCAAGCUUCAGAAAGAUACUUCGCAGUUUCGGCAUGGCAGUGAAGCGAAAAGAGGUUAUUAUCGUUCGUAUAGGGUUCUCCAUUACUCGACAGGUUCCGCGCUCAAGAUGCAUUUUUAGCUAUCAAGUUAAGAAGGAGGUUUUCCGCAUAUGGCGAUGGGUUGUGAAAUCAUUGGAGCUAUCUCAGGUAGCAGACAACGAAACUCUAGGGAAGUUCAGUGCAGUCAAAUCUAUUGAUAGCCUGUACGGGCACUGGGUCCCUCAAAUGGCGCAUAAGUUCAGAGGGGUUAUUUAUGCUUUGCUUUAGGCAAAUCUGCUAUAGCUUUUGGGCUUUCGUACAUAAUUUGACAAGAGGAGUUCUUCAUCGCUUGAGGGCGGGAUACUACACACACUUAUAGUAUAGUACGUUUCUAUUGAGGUUGAGGCUUUAGACUGGGGUCAAUAACCUUGGUUCAUAGCUGACCUUUCCUUGCUCUAAGUUCAGUUUAGCAUUCUAUCUUACGUUGGCAUGGGAGGAACUACUUAAAGCCGGGUAUCUUCUUUAGAAUACUAACUAGUUUCAAGUCCUUUGCGGGUCGUAAAAGUGCCGAGUCUUCCCUGAUAGGAAUCGAAAUCACUUCUUCUGCUGGAACUGGAUCGCAAGAAGAAGGAAUGGCAGGACGCAUGGAAGGAAUGGAACUAGAACAGGCCAAUGGCCUGCAACUGGAACAGAAUGCGCAGUUUAGCAAGGUGAGUACUACUCUCAAGUCCAAUCAAAGCUUUGAAACUCACUUCCCAGAAGAGCUCACUUUUCUCUUUUCCUAAGAGUCACCCAUACUACAACGCACACAGAAGAUAUGGCUUCAAUCCACUAUACUAUGAAUUUCCGUUUUAGCAAGCCAAUAACAGCCAGCUUCUUUCUAGCAACCUGGGAGGUGGGAUUGACUCUAUCUUUGGUAGCUCUACUAGUCUUAAGUCGAUAAGAAAUGUUUCCCGUUGUCCUUCCUUGAAUGAGGUAAGUUGUCAGUGUGAUAUACAAUAGGGUAAUUGAGUGUAGCAGCAAACCAUCCCCCCAAAUGCGCGAAAGAACUCAUCCACGGAACGAGGGCCACAGGUUCGUGCAAAGGAACACUCCUUUUGAAAAAGAAAUGUGUGCAUUGGUUUCUACUCUCAUUAUUGCAGCCUAUUUUGAGAAUGGUUGUAGUAUCGCAGAAACGAGCUGGUUCUAGUAUCAGGCGUUACGGCUUCAAGAUAAGAAACAAAGAAGUGGUGCUGACUUGCCUUGUGCAUACCUUGCUGGAGAGUCAAGGGAAGUGAACGAGGAUGAUGGAUCUGGUAACAUUUCCUAGAGUCCUUGCUGGCAGGUGAUGGGCCUCUGUUAGAAGAAGGAAAGGUAGCAUGUACGGGUGCAGUUGUCUGUCUUCUAUUUUGAUCUAGCACUUUCUCCGUUAUACGAGCAUGCAAUUCCUCAAGAAAUCAAUCAACUCCUUAGCGAAAACAAUGAUGACUAGUUUUCCAACUUCCAACUCAACUAUAUGUGGUGUGGCUCAAACUCACAAAUAAGGGUCAUCAACCCUAGUCAUUGACAAGAGUACUGGUGCGUUCCUUAUGGCCAGGAAGUGAUCUUACUGAAACUCAAAGAAUAUGGAUUUCUUGGGUAAAACCUUCUCAUUGAUCGGGUAUCAGCAUCCCCAAGACUACGAAAACGUUUCUACUCCCUUUCCCUUCCCAACGUCAUAUCUUUCUUCGACAAGAAGGAAAGAUCACUCUCUAUCUAAAUGAUAGAGCCACUGGCACGGUACCUUUCACAUUGGUAAGUCAAAUCCUGGUGAAGACAUCACGAGCAAUGACACGACGACAUCAUCUCCACUUCGUAGCCCAUCGGUCUUCAUUCAUUGAAGCCAGGGCAUUGACUGACUUUCAGCGAUCGCUAUAAGAAAGACAUAAAAAAAGUUCUCCUAAACCUGUUCCUUUCCGUUACUACUACUUGGAAUUGGAAGUCUAGGAGCAGGACUAACCUUUUUCUUUCGUUUAAAUAAAGUCGAGAUGUAGCUUUCUCUAUCUCAAGAAAUUAUUCCACCUCCAUUCAUUGGAGAACAAAGCGUUAUCUGAUUAGAUCCUUGCUUCAAACUCAACCGAAUCAAGUUUCAAAAAUAGAUGUGGGAGAGGCAAAGGGAAGAGCNNNNNNNNNNNNNNNNNNNNNNNNNNNNNNNNNNNNNNNNNNNNNNNNNNNNNNNNNNNNNNNNNNNNNNNNNNNNNNNNNNNNNNNNNNNNNNNNNNNNNNNNNNNNNNNNNNNNNNNNNNNNNNNNNNNNNNNNNCGGGGUUGCCGAAUUGUUUCUCAGAGCCGGACGAAACAUCUAUCUCUAUUUACAAUACCCUUACCCCCAAGAAAACUUUGUCGAAAAAGGUUGUCAUCGUAAUAGGGAUUGCACCUCAACAUGGCAGCCCUCAAUUCUGCCAAUUGUGUGUGACUUGUACUCUUCUAGGCUUCCUCUUUGCCUCAAGUGAUUAAACUCAUCAACUACACCAACCACAUUUCUUACCUCAAACCUCUCUACAAUCUCUUGAAUUCACUCUUGCCAAGAUACUUGCCCCCUAUUCACUAAGAAACUGUUGUACCAGCUUUCAGCUCUCCCCCUAAGGUGCAUAGCAAGAAGUUCUACCUUGUACCAAUCCGUAACUUGGUACACCGAAAAGUAAUGUUCACACUAUUGUAUCCAAGACCUGGCCCCUUCAAAUAUUGGAAAAGAAACUCUAGGAGGUUGAUGUAUCUGCUGCCCAUAUUGAUAUUGAUUUUGCGGCCUUUGUUCUUGCAGGUAUUGGUACGGGUCAUGCUGUUGAGUUGGAAGCGGUUGGUUAAGGUAAGUAUAUAUUGGCACUUCUGGUUUCAUGGAAUUUCCAGCAUAGGGCAAAAGUAUUGGUUGGGAAAAUUGGAUAUUUGGUAUUGAAUUGGGUCUUGGUUGUGGUGGUGGACCGUUUCACUGGCUCAUUUCAUUCCUCUAUCUCACCCUUUUAGCUGUAUACCCUAUCUUGUAUCCAGUAGUAAGUCUACUCUUCUUACCCCCUCUCCUCUACCUUUUGUGGCCCAUCUAUUAGCUUUUUGACCAUCUUUGAGUCAUAGCGAGACGACUCUAUCUCUUUUCACAAGUACAGCCGUAAGUAUAGUUGCGGGCGUCAACGAUCAGCAGUACUGAGCUAUGGAAAGUCUAUCGAAUUAUAGCUACGGAAAGUCUAUUGAAAGGACCUAAUCAAAGGCUACUACAGCUAUAACUGACCCGCCUAUGGAAUCUAUUGGCUCGGCUGAACCGACAUGAAAUGAAAGAGAGGAAGGCGGAAGCUAUUGGCAAAUAGAGGGGGGAUGUUCUCCGUGUCUUUUAGCCCUCACUAGAUGACAACUUGCUUACUUUUCACUUCUUCUUAAGCUUGGCAGACUAGUUCCUGACUGACUUGAUAGUGCGAUGAGCUUGUUUGGUCUUGCUAUAUAUCAGAAUAUCAUCAAAGAAUACCAAAAGGUAUUUCCGGAGCAAAAACAUGAUUCGUUAAAGAUUGGAAGGUAGCAGGUGCAUUAGUGAGUCCAAAUGGCAUCACUAAGUAUUCAUAAUGACAAAAAUAUGUCCUAAAAGCUGUUUUAUGAAUGUCUUCUCUUCUCAUUCUUAUCUGAUGAUAACCUGAUCUCAAAUCAAGUUUGGAAAACAGUUGUGCACCAUCUAGCUCAUCUAAUAGAUCCUCAAUGACAGGAAUAUUGAAUUGAUUUUCUGCACUUAACCCGAAAGCAAGUUUGAAAACAAGACCUGCUCUGUGAAGUGAUGGAAGUAGUGAAGGUUUAGGCUUCGGAUCUAUGAAGUUCAGGUUUUGGAGUAGAGGUCAGAGGCUAGUGCGGGUAGCCCUGUCGGAAACUAGAAAGAAGAGGCUGAUGCACCUGCCCGGCGGUGGGUGGGUUCAGCUCGAUCAACUGGGAUAGGAGUUUUUUCUCUAUCUUGCUCCAUGGUGUUCAAGCAGUGCGUCCAGAAAGCUGUGAUUCAUGGGAGGGAGCAGCUUCAAUAGCUUUGCUGUGAAAACUCUUGGUCUUGGAGCAUCAGUGUCAUCAGUUCACCCAAGAUCAGUAGGACAAAUAACUACUAGGUUUGUGCCAGAAAAGCGUCUUGCGUGACGGGGAAAGAGNNNNNNNNNNNNNNNNNNNNNNNNNNNNNNNNNNNNNNNNNNNNNNNNNNNNNNNNNNNNNNNNNNNNNNNNNNNNNNNNNNNNNNNNNNNNNNNNNNNNNNNNNNNNNNNNNNNNNNNNNNNNNNNNNNNNAAAGAGUGGAAAAAGAAAGAGAUUCAUCAGCUAUGGAAUCUGACAGGUAUCGGUAUUGAACAGAGGGGGCUGUUCACAAAGCAUCCCAUGGAUGGUAAUGGUGCUUCCCCAGCUGCUGUUCCUACUCCUUUGGCUGGUGCCAAAUCAGGUGACUUUGAAGUUGAAGCUUGCCCGCAGAACGAUGUAACCAUGCUGGUAGUACUAUGAUUGCCUUAGAGUGCAGAUGUCUCUGUCCCUAGGAACGUGAUGCUUAGGUGCGAGGUGAAACACAAGCAGGAGAUGGAGAAAAGAAAUCAUACGGAUUGCAACCUACAGAUGAAGAAUCUGCUUCAUUGUUCCCACCAUCUAUAUCAGAUGUUUAAUAAGAAUAGGAAUCGAAUAAGCUGCUGAUUGACUGAGGAAGCAUUUGAAAAGAAAGGAAGGGUGAUGCUUGUUAAACAAAGCUGCGUGUGGGGCCGCCACGUAUAGCUGUAGUUUCUGCUGUAGCAUUGGUUAUUUCCGUUAUUGCUGUAGUAGCAUCGGUUAUUGCUCAGGUUACGAAUGACCCAAUCUAUCUAUGGCAACCACCCCUACUUUUAGUAGAUGGAGAUGCGCACCUAGAAAAGACGGAUGAAAGAGAACCUGCCCUUCUGACUUCUUCUCUUGUCUGUCCUUUACGCAAAGCGAUCUAUGGUCUCAACAAGCCCCGAUAGCGUCGGUUUUUGAAGUUCAGCACAGUGGUUAUGUUAUCCAGGCAGGGUUUGCUCGGAGUGAUCAUGAUUCGGCCAUGUUCGUAUCAGUUUAUCCUCGAGGACGUGCUAUUCUGUUGUUGUAUGUUGAUGAUACCAAACUGACUGGUGAUUACUCCGUUACCAUAUCGCUGAUCAAGUGUCGCCUUCAUCAAUUAUUUGCUAUGAAGGCGCUGACGCGCCCUAAGCCUUUUCUUGGCUUGGAGGUCGCACAUUCUCCUCGUGGAUAUUUGGUAUCUCAGAUCAAAUAACGUCAUGACUUGAUCACUCGAGCUCAACUCAAUGAUGAGAAGACUGUUGACACUCCCUUGGAGCUUUACGUUAAACUCCGUCCGACUGAUGGCUCACCAUUAUCUGAUCCGACGCAGUACAGACAGUAGGUCGGCAGUUUGGUUUAUCUGACGAUCUCUUGCCCAGAUGGCUUUUCCUAAGAAAGUCAGCCUUUCAUGGCUGCCCCCCGGUCAGUUCACUUUGCAGCAGUUCAUCGGAUUCUUAGAUAUAUUCGAGGUACCUUUUCUCGAGCCGUCCUUUUUUCCGUCAUCGUCUUCGUUAGAGUUGCGUGCAACUACUGAUGCCGAUUGGGCCUUCAGAUAGGUGCUCAACUACAGGCUUAUCUAUUUUAUGGGGAGACGAGACACUAUCUUGGAUGAGAUAAAAGCAAUAGACAGUUUCUCCUUCCACUGCCGAAGCGGAGUACCAUGCCAUGGCACACUACUAGAUAGAUUGUAUGGCUCCGUUGGUGACUUUCUGAUCGCGGGUUUCAUUUGAAAAACCCCAACGCCAUUCAUCUUGCAUCAAAUCCGGUCUUUCAUGCAAGAGUUUCAUUUUUCGCCGCUACUACGUUCGUCGAAAACUUCUUGAUGGCACCAUCAUCUCAUUACCUUAUUUUUUCCCUUCGACUUCGGCUAUGACCAAUGCCCCACCUAGCUGAAUAGGCGUAACAAAGCUACCUGAAAAAGGCAAGGUGCACCUUAGAUUGAAAUCGACAAAUUUUGUUUUGCCAGAUGGAUUCUUUAGAAAGAUUCCCGGAUAAAGUUCAGUAUAAUAUUUAGUUAGAAUCUAAAUAAAGGCGCAUACGUGGGCGGGCAGGGGGCCCCACUACUUCUUCAUUCAGGGGNNNNNNNNNNNNNNNNNNNNNNNNNNNNNNNNNNNNNNNNNNNNNNNNNNNNNNNNNNNNNNNNNNNNNNNNNNNNNNNNNNNNNNNNNNNNNNNNNNNNNNNNNNNNNNNNNNNNNNNNNNNNNNNNNNNNNNGGGGGGGGGGGGGGCUAGCCUCAUGACUUCCCACUGGGCGAGGGGUGCACCUAACCCACCUACUCACUCAUCAAUUACGGUGUUCAGCUGACUUGCACAGAACGACCCCUAUUGUUUAGUAAUUUGGCGCCCCAUCUUUUGAUUGACUGUUGUCAACUAAUCUUUUCAAUGUUCAAUUCUACUCUAUGUUAGAACAUUUCUGUGAAUGCUAUUUCGAUCUAAGUGGUCCUAUUCUCUGUCCCGUGCUAGGAAGCAUUACUCCUCUUUUCAUUCCAAAUUCUUCAAUAAGACCGAUACGAUUGAUUGGUCUGUGCGUUUCUCUUAUUACUUUUUUGUAUCCCCCUGUUCCUCGAAUACAAUUCGAUCCUUCUACGGCCAAAUCUCAAUUUGUGGAAAGCCUUCGAUGGCUUCCUUAUGAAAACAUCCAUUUGUAUAUGGGUAUAGACGGUCUUUCAUUAUUCUUCGUGAUAUUGACCACAUUUCUGACCCCUAUUUGCAUUUCAGUGGGUUGGUCUGGUAUGAGAAGUUUNNNNNNNNNNNNNNNNNNNNNNNNNNNNNNNNNNNNNNNNNNNNNNNNNNNNNNNNNNNNNNNNNNNNNNNNNNNNNNNNNNNNNNNNNNNNNNNNNNNNNNNNNNNNNNNNNNNNNNNNNNNNNNNNNNNNNNNNNNNNNNNNNNNNAAAGAGUAUAUUACAGCAUUUCUAAUUCGUGAAUUUCUAAUGAUCGUCGUGUCCUGCAUGCUGGAUCCUCUACUAUUCUAUGUUCUUUCCGAAAGCGUGCCAAUCCCUAUGUUGUGCGGAGCUGAGCAUCUUCUAUUCGCUGGGAUCAAGCUUUUCCUCUGCAGGGGCCUUGUGCAGUAAACCCCCUACGGGCGGUCCCCCGUCGUCGUAAAGUAGUAAAGGUCCCCGCGAAGCUUUCGGGAAGAGGGGUAGUCUUGUGCGUAAGCAUAGCAUUUCUGGUCGAACCACCGAACCACACAUUUUUUUUUUGGUGGGAGGGUACUCCGAGUAGUGGGUACCUCGUAGGACCUCGACCCGCCUACUCAGGUCUUGUAUGGAUAUGCAGGAAGGGGUGCUCCUAGGUGUGUGUAGGGGGUGUGUUUGUUCACGAGAAUGGAUUCCUCGUCAAGUCAGGGGGGUGUGGACACACUUGCGCGAAUUCGGGUAACGGCUACAAGGGAUAAAAAUAAAGGAAAUUGUACCCGACCAGGGAUGGACGUAAACUCGUAAGCUACCGAGGGUAGGGAUAAUCGUCCAGGUCUUAUUUCAAAAAAAAA
rnacentral:lncRNA from 1 species